GACGAACCGAGCGAACGUUGUUCGGAAUCACUGGGCUUAAAGGGCGCGUAGGCGGGUGCUCAAGUCUGUGGUGAAAUCCUCCGGCUCAACCGGAGAACGGCCAUGGAUACUGGGUGCCUCGAGGGUGAUAGGGGUAUGCGGAACUAUCGGUGGAGCGGUGAAAUGCUUAGAUAUUACAUGGAAUACCGAUUGCGAAGGCAGGUUACUAUCAAUACAUUGACGCUGAUGGACGAAAGCGUGGGGAGCGAACAGG
rnacentral:rRNA from 1 species